AUUAAGCAGGUCAUUUCUACCAAGCCAUAAUGACCACACCAAUGAAACACAGUAGAAGAGCCAUAGUUGCUUAGUUAAUCCUGUAAUCACUGAAUUUUGUCCGGCUCGAUUUCGUUUUUUUUUUAAAAAUUCAAAAAAAGUACAAAAAUAAAAAAAAUACAUCUUGACCCCUAAUAUUUUGUAAAUUACACUUGGGCCCCUAAACUUUCUAGAAAUUACACUUUAGCCCUAUAUUUUCCUAAAAUUGCAUUUUUACCCCAGAAACUUUACGCCCUCUACAAUUUAGUCCUUCUAGACUUGUCAAAUCACCCAAUCGGCAGCCGAGCUACUCCAGCAGCCUCCUAGGCCAUGAUUGCUCCACUGCCACCUGCAAACAAAGAGGAAGAAGACAAAAUUGGGGGGUUAAAAAAAGAAAAAUUGAAGAGAAGAAAUGGGAGGGCAAGCAAUCAAAAAAAGAGCAAACAACAGAAGCAAAAAAAUUUCAAAACAGCAGCAGCUCCUUCCGUCGCACCAGCGCCACCGUGCCCACCACCGCAGCACCACCAUCGCCUACACUUAGCAAAGCAACCAAGAAUCCAAAAAAAACAAGCAAAAUCUAAAAGAAAAAAGAGGGAAAACCCAAA
rnacentral:lncRNA from 1 species